GGAAAAAUGAAGCGCAAACACUGUCUAACAAGUUUUUGGAAACAAAUAUCAGGAAUUAGAAGGGCUGACAAGAAGCCUGUGGAUACUCAGUGAAUGUUAUGUAUGUAAAUUCAUACUUUUGAAUAUAAAAUUAUCGUUAUACAUGUUUUUGAGAAUCAAUCGUCAUUUGUAUUUAUGUCUGUACUUUUACAGGAAAAUCUAAGAUCAGUUUGUAACUGUUGAACGAUAAAAAUCUCUGUCUAAACUGUCUAAAGGUAUCUCUAUAAUUCUUAUUUCACUUACAUGUAUGAUAAUACUUUGUCCUUGCAUUUUCGACGUAUUGAAUGAAAUCAAUUGUAAACAUUUGGGAAUACUGU
rnacentral:misc_RNA from 1 species